rnacentral:rRNA from 1 species
UAGCCGUAAACGAUACUCGCUAGGUGUCGGCCACGGUGCGACCGUUGUCGGUGCCGUAGGGAAGCCGUGAAGCGAGCCACCUGGGAAGUACGGCCGCAAGGCUGAAACUUAAAGGAAUUGGCGGGGGAGCACCACAACGGGUGGAGCUUGCGGUUUAAUUGGAUUCAACGCCGGAAAUCUUACCGGGACCGACAGCAACAUGAAGGCCAGGCUGGAGACUUUGCCGGAUUAGCUGAGAGGAGGUGCAUGGCGUAGACGUCU